rnacentral:rRNA from 1 species
GAUGAACGAUGGCGGCGUGCCUAAUACAUGCAAGUCGAGCGAACAGAUAAGGAGCUUGCUCCUUUGACGUUAGCGGCGGACGGGUGAGUAACACGUGGGUAACCUACCUAUAAGACUGGAAUAACUCCGGGAAACCGGGGCUAAUGCCGGAUAACAUUUAGAACCGCAUGGUUCUAAAGUGAAAGAUGGUUUUGCUAUCACUUAUAGAUGGACCCGCGCCGUAUUAGCUAGUUGGUAAGGUAACGGCUUACCAAGGCAACGAUACGUAGCCGACCUGAGAGGGUGAUCGGCCACACUGGAACUGAGACACGGUCCAGACUCCUACGGGAGGCAGCAGUAGGGAAUCUUCCGCAAUGGGCGAAAGCCUGACGGAGCAACGCCGCGUGAGUGAUGAAGGUCUUCGGAUCGUAAAACUCUGUUAUUAGGGAAGAACAAAUGUGUAAGUAACUGUGCACGUCUUGACGGUACCUAAUCAGAAAGCCACGGCUAACUACGUG